CGUCCCCGCAGUGGCUCCGCGGGCCGAGUGGCGCUGUCCCGGGAAGACAAGGAGGCCGCCAAGCUGGGGCUGUCCGUGUUCACGCACCACCGCGUGGAGAGCAGCCGGCCUGGGGCCUCCCCGACCUCUGUCAGGAAGAAGCCGCGCUCGGAGGAGAAGGCCGAGGCAGGCCUGGAGAACCACAGGAAGACCAGGAAAGAGAAGAAGAAGAAGAAGAAGAAGCACAAGAAAGAGAAAAAGAAAGACAAGGAGCACCGCAAGGGGCGGGCCGCCUCGCCCCCGUCUUCCUCGCCCGCCCGGCCUGGGGGGCUGGGCCCCGAGCCCCCGUCCCCCCGCUGCAAGAGGAGGCGACACCACGACAGUGACUGAGGCCGCACGGGGAGCCCGAGCCCGGAGCGCCGGCGAGGGCUGGCCUGCCCAGGGGACGGCCCAACCUGCUCCACACUGGCCUCUGCGCCCUACCCCCACCCAGGGGCCUCGCUGACCAAGCACCCUGUCUGGCGUUCAUGUUCUUUCUAUCAACUGGCUUUGUACUUAAAUAAACGUAUUUUUAAGUCAGG